rnacentral:rRNA from 1 species
UGGGGAAUAUUGCACAAUGGGCGCAAGCCUGAUGCAGCCAUGCCGCGUGUGUGAAGAAGGCCUUCGGGUUGUAAAGCACUUUCAGCGAGGAGGAAGGUGGUGAACUUAAUACGUUCAUCAAUUGACGUUACUCGCAGAAGAAGCACCGGCUAACUCCGUGCCAGCAGCCGCGGUAAUACGGAGGGUGCAAGCGUUAAUCGGAAUUACUGGGCGUAAAGCGCACGCAGGCGGUUUGUUAAGUCAGAUGUGAAAUCCCCAGGCUCAACCUGGGAACUGCAUUUGAAACUGGCAAGCUAGAGUCUCGUAGAGGGGGGUAGAAUUCCAGGUGUAGCGGUGAAAUGCGUAGAGGAUCUGGAGGAAUACCGGUGGCGAAGGCGGCCCCCUGGACGAAGACUGACGCUCAGGUGCGAAAGCGUGGGGCAGCAAACAGGAUUAGAUACCCUGGUAGUCCACGCUGUAAAACGAUGUCGAUUUUGGAGGUUGUGCCCCUUGAGGCGUGGCUUCCGGAGCUAACGCGUUAAAUCGACCGCCUGGGGGAGUACGGCCGCAAGG